UACGUAGGGGGCGAGCGUUGUCCGGAUUCAUUGGGCGUAAAGCGCGCGCAGGCGGUUGGGCGAGCCCGGCGUGAAAGCCCCCAGCUCAACUGGGGAGGGUCACGCGAUACUGAUCGACUCGAAGGCAGGAGAGGGUAGUGGAAUUCCCGGUGUAGUGGUGAAAUGCGUAGAUAUCUGGAGGAACACCGGUGGCGAAGGCGGCAUCCUGGACCGGCAUUGACGCUGAGACGCGAAAGCCAGGGGAGCAAACGGG
rnacentral:rRNA from 1 species